UAUUUAUUCCUACGUGAGCAGACCCAGUACAGUUCUUGCAUAUAAACAGUGAAAAUUCCAAUAUAAAGGAUUUAUUAUACCUUCUUUUGGAGUAACAUUAGUGCUAGCCAGAACCUUGCCUACUAUGUAAGCCUAAGAAGAUACAUUUUCUGCGGGUAAUCCCAAAGCUUUCAGGCGCAACUUCUACCGCACUGGCCAAGACCUCAACAACUGCAGCACUUGCCAGAACACUGCAUGUAUCAUUUACAGUGUGGAAUAUGACUUCAGACAACAAGAAGGCAGAUUUCAUCAGGUUUUGAAAACACUGGAUCAAGUGGAGCAAACACCUGCCACGGCUCCAGCCCCCAAAUUACCACCUGACCAUCCAAUUCCUGAGAAACAGGAAUUAAGACGAAAAACAAAAAAGGUGAAAAAGAAAUGCUUCUGGUGGAUGUGAAUGUCUUUUAGCUGACAUACAGAAUUGAAGGACUACAUUUCAGAAGAUAUUAAAACAUAUAUACAGAGGCUUUAAUAUGUACAACUGUGAAAUCACAAACAGGAAACUAAAAAAUGUCUAAGAAGGUAUUUGAAAACUCAAAAGCUUAGAAUGGAAUUUACUCAUUUAACAAGCU